rnacentral:rRNA from 1 species
GAUGAACGCUGGCGGCGUGCUUAACACAUGCAAGUCGAACGAUGAAGCCCAGCUUGCUGGGUGGAUUAGUGGCGAACGGGUGAGUAACACGUGUGUAACCUGCCCCUAACUCUGGGAUAAGCCUGGGAAACUGGGUCUAAUACCGGAUAGGAGCGUCCACCGCAUGGUGGGUGUUGGAAAGAUUUAUCGGUUUUGGAUGGACUCGCGGCCUAUCAGCUUGUUGGUGAGGUAAUGGCUCACCAAGGCGACGACGGGUAGCCGGCCUGAGAGGGUGACCGGCCACACUGGGACUGAGACACGGCCCAGACUCCUACGGGAGGCAGCAGUGGGGAAUAGUGCACAAUGGGCGCAAGCCUGAUGCAGCGACGCCGCGUGAGGGAUGACGGCCUUCGGGUUGUAAACCUCUUUCAGUAGGGAAGAAGCGAAAGUGACGGUACCUGCAGAAGAAGCACCGGCUAACUACGUG